rnacentral:rRNA from 1 species
UAAACGAUGUCGACUUGGAGGUUGUGGCUUCCGGAGCUAACGCGUUAAGUCGACCGCCUGGGGAGUACGGCCGCAAGGUUAAAACUCAAAUGAAUUGACGGGGGCCCGCACAAGCGGUGGAGCAUGUGGUUUAAUUCGAUGCAACGCGAAGAACCUUACCUGGUCUUGACAUCCAGGUGCUGCAUGGCUGUCGUCAGCUCGUGUUGUGAAAUGUUGGGUUAAGUCCCGCAACGAGCGCAACCCUUAUCCUUUGUUGCAACUCAAAGGAGACUGCCAGUGAUAAACUGGAGGAAGGUGGGGAUGACGUCAAGUCAUCAUGGCCCUUACGACCAGGGCUACACACGUGCUACAAUGGCGCAUACAAAGAGAAGCGACCUCGCGAGAGCAAGCGGACCUCAUAAAGUGCGUCGUAGUCCGGAUUGGAGUCUGCAACUCGACUCCAUGAAGUCGGAAUCGCUAGUAAUCGUGGAUCAGAUGCCACGGUGAAUACGUUCCCGGGCCUUGUACACACCGCCCGUCACACCAUGGGAGUGGGUUGCAAAAGAAGUAGGUUACCACUUUGUGAUUCAUGACUGGGGUGAAGUCGUAACAAGGUAACCGA